AUUGAACGCUGGCGGCAUGCCUAAUACAUGCAAGUCGAGCGGAAACAUGAAGCGCUUUCCUCCCUUACGGUCGCGGCGCGCGGGUGUGUAAAACGUGGAUAAAAUACCUCUAAGACUGGGGUUACUUAGUGAAAACGGUGCCAAUUACGGCUUAUCUAUUCAACAGCAUAGAUCAAUAGUUAAAGACGUCUUUGCUUUGACUUAUAGAUGGAUCCGAGCCGCAUUAGCUAGUUGGUAAGGUAACGGCUUACCAAGGCAACGAUGCGUAGCCGACCUGAGAGGGUGACCGGCCACACUGGAACUGAGACACGGUCCAGACUCCUACGGGAGGCAGCAGUGGGGAAUAUUCCGCAAUGGGCGAAAGCUUGACGGAGCAACGCCGCGUGAGUGAUGAAGGCCUUCGGAUCGUAAAACUCUGUUAUUAGGGAAGAACAAAAGUGUAAGUAACUAUGCACGUCUUGACGGUACCUAAGCAGAAAGCCACGGCUAACUACGU
rnacentral:rRNA from 1 species